CCCCUCCCACCCUCUAGUUCCAGAAGCCACAGACAAGAAGCUGAGAAGAGAGACAGCAAUUGGCUAUCAAAUGAACUUCUGACGGCUUCAGUCUGAUUUCAUAAACUGGGUAUGCACCUUAUAUCAGCAGCCUUCUGCCCUCAGCUUGGAACGAAUACAUGCUUCCUAUCAAGUCCUGGCCAUUAUUUUCCACCGUAAGUGCAGAGUCCUUGUCAGCUGUGCAUCACCAAGUAACAGAAGACAAGUGACGUGACAAGACAUGUCCCUCCCCAAAAUGACUUAUUUAUUUCUAUCCAAAGACAACUUGUUGAGGGAAGUUUGAUGUGAAGUCUUUAUUUCAUAUAAAAAAACAAAAACAGAAACAACAAAUGUUUCUACUUAAACUAAUCAA